rnacentral:tRNA from 1 species
GGUUGAUUACGGUCGGAGGGACAGCGCCUCCCUUACCACGAGGGGCUCGGCGGUUCGAUCCCGUCAUCACCCACCA